GUGGCUAUAGCUUAGUAGUAGACCUCGUGCUUAGCAUGCACAAGGUCCUGGGUUCAAUCCCCAGUACCACC
rnacentral:tRNA from 1 species